rnacentral:rRNA from 1 species
ACAGCAGUCGCCGCGGUAAUACGAAGGGUGCAAGCGUUAAUCGGAAUUACUGGGCGUAAAGCGUGCGUAGGCGGUUUGUUAAGUCUGUUGUGAAAUCCCCGGGCUCAACCUGGGAAUGGCAAUGGAUACUGGCAAGCUAGAGUGUGUCAGAGGAUGGUGGAAUUCCCGGUGUAGCGGUGAAAUGCGUAGAGAUCGGGAGGAACAUCAGUGGCGAAGGCGGCCAUCUGGGACAACACUGACGCUCAGGUGCGAAAGCGUGGGGAGCAAACAGGAUUAGAUACCCCUGUAGUCCCUGUCUCUUAUAC